rnacentral:rRNA from 1 species
AGGGACAGCAAACUGGAAUUUGAGAAACGUUCAGAACCCUACGGUGGCAGCAGUCGAGAAUCUUUCACAAUGGGGCACUGAUGGAGCGACGCCGCGUGGAGGAUAGGUCUCGAUGUAAACUCUGUCAUGUGUGACAGUGUCGUGUUAUAGCAUGGCAAAUGAUGUACACAGAGAAGAGACGGCUAACUCUGUGCCAGCAGCGCGGUAAUACAGAGUCUCAGCGUGUUCGGAAUCACUGGGCGUAAAGGGUGCGUAGGUGGCGUGGUAAGUCAGAUGUGAAAGCCCGGGGCUCAACCUCGGAAUUGCAUCCGAUACUACCAUGCUAGAGUACUGAAGAGGUGACUAGAAUUCUCGGUGUAGCAGUGAAAUGCGUAGAUAUCGAGAGGAAUACCAACGGCGAAGGCAGGUCACUGGGCAGUUACUGACACUGAGGCACGAAGGCCAGGGGAGCAAACGGGAUUAGAUACCCCGGUAGUCCUGGCAGUAAACGGUGCACGUUUGGUGUGGGCGCAAUCGACCGCGUCCGCGCCGGAGCUAACGCGUUAAACGUGCCGCCUGGGAAGUACGGUCGCAAGAUUAAAACUCAAAGAAAUUGACGGGGACCCGCACAAGCGGUGGAGUAUGUGGCUUAAUUCGAUGCAACGCGAAGAACCUUACCUGGUC